CACGGAGUUAGCCGAUGCUUUUUCUUCGGAUACACGCAGUCCGGGACACGUCCCGGGUUUUGUUCUCCGACAAAAGAGGUUUACAACCCAUAGGGCCGUCUUCCCUCACGCGGCUUGGCUGGUUCAGGAUCCCUCCCAUUGACCAAUAUUCCUCACUGCUGCCUCCCGUAGGAGUCUGGUCCGUGUCUCAGUACCAGUGUGGGGGACCUUCCUCUCAGAACCCCUACGCAUCGUCGCCACGGUGGGCCGUUACCCCGCCGUCAAGCUAAUGCGCCGCAUGCCCAUCCUCUUCCGAUGAAUCUUUCCUCGAUCUCGGAUGCCCGAAACCGAUAUACGCGGGAUUAGCCUCCCUUUCGGAAGGUUGUCCCCCUGAAGAGGGCAGGUUGCAUACGUGUUACUCACCCGUGCGCCGGUCGCCGGCAAGGAAAGCAAGCUUCCCUCCCGAUGCCCCUCGACUUGCAUGUGUUAAGCCUGCCGCUAGCGUUCAUCCUGAGCCAGGAUCAAACUCU
rnacentral:rRNA from 1 species